UGGUGGAGUGAUUUGUCUGGUUAAUUCCGUUAACGAACGAGACCUCGACCUGCUAAAUAGUUGAGCGCACGCCUUCAAGCGUGCGAACUCCAACUUCUUAGAGGGACUAUUGUCGAUUAGACAAUGGAAGUUCGAGGCAAUAACA
rnacentral:rRNA from 1 species